CGGACGGGUGAGUAAUGUCUGGGAAACUGCCUGAUGGAGGGGGAUAACUACUGGAAACGGUAGCUAAUACCGCAUAACGUCGCAAGACCAAAGAGGGGGACCUUAGGGCCUCUUGCCAUCGGAUGUGCCCAGAUGGGAUUAGCUAGUAGGUGGGGUAACGGCUCACCUAGGCGACGAUCCCUAGCUGGUCUGAGAGGAUGACCAGCCACACUGGAACUGAGACAUGGUCCAG
rnacentral:rRNA from 1 species